rnacentral:lncRNA from 1 species
AUAGUUGAGCGAACGUUUCGCGGUAACAGGAGUGCAUUAAUCAUUAACAUACUUUACUAACAAACUUUUGAACUAUUUCACCGUGAAAUAACAUCUGUUCAGCCGUGUCACUGUCCUCGAGACGGCCGUUUUUUCAUCUGAACAUCUGGACGAUAGCGUUGAGUGACCUCUCACGACUAUAAAUAAAGUAAUUUCUUUAAUUAACGUGGGUCGCCUUGGAAUUUUUCCUCGAUAUCGAGCCCAAGGCACCUUUUUACCAUUCCUGCCGAUAUCCAGCGCCGUAUGAAACUUCGAUACGAAACAAGGUGACCAACACGCGAAAAGAAAAGACUUCAAUACGAGUAACGGUGUAGAGAAACGCUCUGGUGCCCGCCUAAGUUAUUCGUUAUAUGUAUGCGUACCAUACUGGUUGUUCAUCGUACGGUCAGCCAGGCGUAUAAUCGUAGUACAGGUCAUGGUUAUUUCUUCGAGGUUCACUGAUUUUUCAUCAAUAAUCUUGAAUGGACGACGAUAUGAAACGAGCGGAUUUACGAAAAAUUCGCGGCGAAAUUGGAAAAACGCGAUCCAAAUGCAGCCGCGUAAUUAACGAUUUCAAGUCGGGCUAAUAAAUUACCUUGGAUCAUCUGUGUCAGCUGCAUGCAUAUUAAAUAGCAGAAUAUUAAAACUACAUAAAAUUAUAAAUAAUUCAUAGAUUUUUCGCGUAGUUACCUUAAUUAGCAAUUAAGGUGUCACAUGGAUGUAAACACUACAGAGAUAAUUAAUUUCGAUGUUGUCACAUAUAUUGUGUUUUUUAUCCGUUGGCUAGAAAAAACAAGAUACUGAAUUUGUUGCGUAAGUGUUUUAACAUAGAAAAUUACUUAGUCCCUUUUAUCUAAACUGUUUUAUGAUGUUCGAAAGAAAUAAAACCAUGUCAAUACCUGACUUAUCAUUAUAAUAUGAAAUAUACAUCAUUUCUGUGUUCUGUAAGAUCUAGAGGUACAUUUAUAUUGAUGUAUGUGUCAAUAUUAUAUCUAUCAUAUUAUUGAUAACUUUCUUAUAUACUUAUAUAAACAAAAGAAUUGGUAGGAUCUAUAUAGUUAGUUAACAUACUAACAACAUUAGUCAUUUAGCUUGUAACUGUAAUGUGCAAUGGAAUCUAAUGUUACUGGUUGGUAAGUCAUUGUACAUCGAACUAUUGGUGAAUCUUAUUCCAAUUAUACAAUCGCUUACAAUUUUGCGUACGUUGGCAAGCAAAAGAAUGGGUAACAUACGUUCGAAUACAGUUAUUCGAACAUGCUCUCUGGUUAUUUCAGUGACAAAUUAUAGAUAGUGAAGAAAAUCAGCGAUCUCCUGUUAUAAGAUAUCCAGUUAUCCAAAUCGUUUCCUCAGGUAUAAGUAGAAUUAAGUAGAAAUAACGACAAGUAGGAUCCUAAUGUCUACUACCCAUGUACAUAAUUCUACCACAAAAGUUUGAAACAUAUUGGAAUUCCAAAAGAAAUAAUGACUUCCUCAUGUAGGAGUAAAAGAUAACUUCUGAGCAAACAAAAACGAAAAGAUCCGAUCGUUCAACGAAAUUUUAAAUCCAUGGCCGAAAUAAGUUACUAAUUCAGAAAUCGAUACGGUUAAAGAGUUAAUAAGCAUUGAGCCAUUACUUGGCCGAUAUGGCGUGCGUCGAAACUGUUAUUGUAACAGCACUUUAAUCGGACACGGGUGAAGCAAACGACGCUGAAACACAAAGUUUUCGAUGGAAUUGGAACGUCCGACGAUGAUUUCCGAAUCGUUAAACGGAAACUAUUCGCAUUAAAGAAGAAACCGACCGGUUGGAAGGGAAAAAUAAGAGGACCCCAGUUACUGCGUGGUCGUGACAGUCGAGGUAUCCAAUUUGUGGAGUUAAUAGAAGUUUGAUCAAGCCUUGUUUCAAAUUGAAUGCCAAACUAUGGAUUGCUGCCGGUCGAUAGGACUUUUAUCGAAACGUUAAUGUUUUUUCGAUCGAUCGUCCGACACCGGUCGGGUCUCGUUCGAUGAACGAACGCGAUCCUGUUCUCUGUAUCACGAAAUUCAAUUGAAACUGCGAAUAAUAAUGCUACCGAUUGUAGCCGUAAUAAUGGCAAACUCGACGGCGGUAAUAGGAACGCUGUAUCGCUGCGUUUCUGUUUAUUUCGUAUAAAUCGCCGCUUAUCGAAAUUGGAACGUAACACUUCACUUUUUUAUCAUACUGUAAGGUAUGUUGUAGAUACCGUGUCGUUAAAUUAAAGGCAAAUUAACAGAGCAGUGGUGAAUAAUACACGCGUGGAGGAAUUUACGUAAAGUGUUACAUGCGCGUGUGCGCGGUACGCUCCGAUUCGAUUGAUGCGCGGAAGGUUAACGGGAAGAGACAAACAGCCGAAUCUGUUACGUGAAACGGGCCCUCAUGUGCUGCUUCCCUCGAGAUUACUUCCUAGAUAACUAUGUACACGUACAUUUUUUCGUUUUAUUCUUUUUUACGAAAGAACCGCACCCGUUUCUUUUAUGGCGUCGUAAAUUCCUUAUUUCUCACUGGUGCUUUUGGCAGGAUGACAUGGAUUUGUCUCCGCAUAUGGGAUACCAUACAAGUUAAUAACUUCCUGAAUAGCCCGUUGAUGAAGAAAUCUUGAAUUUAUUAAUGGUCGAACGUUGAGACUUUGAAACGGUAUAAAUUAACGAAAUCUGGUUUGGAAAGAUUUAUAUCUGAUUAUCGGUUAGUUUAUUCAUUAUAUUCUCUUGUAUCAAUAUACAUAAUAUUGGUAUACUGGUCUACUUAUAUUUUAUACUCCUGCGAUUAAUUUAUUGCACGUCAUAAAUUAUAGUCUUUUAUAUUAUAUAUAGUGUCUUUUACACUGUUGUAACCCUGAACUCUGAAUAUACAAAAUACGUGUUAAUAUAAAUAGACUGUCCUACUAAAAAUAUAUAUUCAAAGCGAUACGUGAUUAAAUUAAAGAGGUAUUUCUAAUGUAACUCAAUAAAUUUUAUUUUUUUGUA